GUUAAAUUUCGCUGGGUGACCUUUGCCGGUGAGUCGCGUGCCGUCCCACGAGUCGUGCUGCCUCCCAGAGUCCCGGUUCACCCCUCCCACGCGCCGCACCCAAUCCCCUCCUCCCGCACGCCUCGCACCUAAUCGCCUCCAUGAACCCUAGCCCCCAAUGGAUGGGACGCCACACCCUCACUCCUCCCCAGCAGCCUCCAAACCCCCCGCCUCCACCGGAUCCAAGGCGUGCGGCCACGGAGGCGAGCCUCUCCGGCGACGGUGGCAACCUGCAGGCAGAGAAGAUGGGAGAGAGGGAGAGAAGGAAUGAGAGGAGGGAGGUCCGACGGCGGACAGGAGAGGGUCAGCGGCCUGUGCCGGCGAGGUCAGGUGUGACCUGGCAGACCUGGCAAUUGAUGGCGGCCACUCCUGGAUCCUUCUUCCACUUCCCCACUGCCUACCACCAAGCACGGGUCAGGGAGCAUGGGAUUGACGACGGCGGUCGAAAGCCAGGAUGGUUGGCUGAGGAAGAGGGUGAGGACUUGAGGAUUGAAGAGGGUUGCUAUGGAGACUGUUCUUUGCAAGGGUAAAGCAUCAUCAGCACUGGUGGUGGUUGGAUCAUUAGAUGAUUCCCAGUAACUAGGUAUGUCUUCUUAACCAGGUGGACAUUUCCCCAGAUUGGCUCCUCCACAUGUUUCAGACUGACAAAUCAUGACAAUCCUCUUCUUAAAGUACAAAAUGAUGUAGCUAUCUCCACAUGCUUUGAUGAUAUCUUUUUCGUAUGGUUGGAUGGUUCCUUAUCACCGUGAUUCAUAUAAAACUUUGUGAAUUGUAGUGUCAUGAUGAUUUCAUAAGACACAAGGCUUUAAUGUAUAUUUGGAAAGCACAUAAAUGUGAAGAAUCAAUGGUGAAAAUAAGUAAAACACUCUCUAUAUGUUUCCAUUGACAUGAUCAGUGGCUCCAUUUUCUUUGGUAAGUAAUGCUAGGCUACAGGUUAAUAUAUUUUACCAUGCCCAGCUGUUUUUCUCAGUUUCUCCUCUAAAACAUAGACAUCAUUUUCAUUCGGAUUUCAUCCUUAUUAGUUUUAUUUUAUAUGCAUUGAAUAUAACUAUGCAACUAUAGGUACAAGCAUUGCCAUGACAUACAUCCCAUUUUGAGUUUUAUUCAGUCCUCUGUCAUUGUUAUUGCGAUCUUAUUUUGCCGUUGUAAAAAUGGGGUAUAUGUCAUGGUUGUUUAACAGAAGGGAGGUGCAUAAGAACAGAUUUGGUGUUCAUCCGCAAUGUGAGUGCUUUCUGCAACUCCAUUUUGUCGAUAUUUUCUGCGAGACAUGAACACCAAAUCUAUUUAUCUAACAUGUUUUGCAUGUUUUGUCGAGUGCUUUCCUGUGUUUUUAUCUAUGGUCUUUUUUAUCAUAUCUAAUAUCCAGCAUUAUACCAUGUCUCACAGAAUUGCUGAUUCUGCACAUACACCUACUUAUUUUACUUCUGUGACAUGCGGUACAAUUUUUCUCUGGGAUAGGCGAGGCGAUGAUCCAAAAAAUUGGAAAGAAUGGUGCUCCCAUGUUCUCUCUUAUCCAGGAAAAUCAAUACAGCAAAAUGUGUGUUUAAUAAACCUUGCAUUGCUGCAAAAAUUAAUAUUAUGUUUGUGAAUCUAAUGCCAUUGUGGAUAUCAUGAAGAAGAGGGACAUGUUUGUUGCAUUUGAAGGUGUACUUAUGAGUGCAAGGGAGCCUCGAGGAUUUGGGUUUGUCCAGUACUUCAAUCCUGAUGAUGCUGCAGAUGGAAAAUACUACAUGGACGGACAGGUUAUUUGUGGCAAACAAGUAACAGUUUUAUUUGCAUAACAGAACAAAAAGAAGCCUGCUAAGGGGUGUCCCGCGGCAGAUGCGCGCCCAAUGACGCUGUGGAGCUGUCAACUCCCACCCAGAUCGCCACAGAGAACAGUGAAGCAUCCUCCCUUCUCCCUUCCGGUUGCAUCUCCGCCGGGCUUGUCUUAGUGACACAGGCAUGCUGAAGCAAAGAUCCUUUUCCUUCUUUGCAUCCCUCAUUCUCUGUUUUUUCUCACAAUGAAGCACCUUGCUUCUCCACGGCAUUCAACCCAUGAUGGUGUGACUACAGGUGGAUUACAACAUCUUUACCUGAUAAACAUGGAAUAUACAAGAGGAAGGAGCAACUGCAGCAAGCAGUGAUGCUUCAGGCGCUGAUGUGAGGAUUACUGCAUUUGAGAGCAGAGGAAGACAAGCGUAAAACUAUCAUGUUCGCUUCCGCCAUUCAUGCCGAGCGGGAUGCGUGGCAGAGGGGAUUUCUUUUCCGCGAAAACCGGAAGAGAGGAUAUUGAAGCCACCUUUGCCAACAUAGAUGAAGAUGGGAGGAUUGGCCAACUUUGGACUCCAACGGCAGCGAUGAUGAUGAAGACUUGAGCUAUGACUAUGAGUCCGAGUAGUAGAAGAAUCAUUUAUGUUUUUGUGCUUUGUCGACAGGGAUUAGAUUUGUUACAAAUAGAACUCUAUGCUACCAAAUUUUAAUGUGCAUAUACUUUUCAUUGUAGACAGCAAGCCCCUGUUUUUCCAGGAGAUUAAAUUUGUUGUCAUAUGUGCUUGCCUGUAACUAAGCAACUAAACCAUGGAUUACUUUUCAUCGCUAACAUGGAAUCAGCAGGUUUCUGCGCCAUUUGGCGCAACGGGUUCACUAGUUCUAAU
rnacentral:rRNA from 1 species